GAUGAACGCUGGCGGCGUGCCUAAUACAUGCAAGUCGAGCGAACAGACGAGGAGCUUGCUCCUCUGACGUUAGCGGCGGACGGGUGAGUAACACGUGGAUAACCUACCUAUAAGACUGGGAUAACUUAGGGAAACCGGAGCUAAUACCGGAUAAUAUAUUGAACCGCAUGGUUCAAUAGUGAAAGACGGUUUUGCUGUCACUUAUAGAUGGAUCCGAGACGCAUUAGCUAGUUGGUAAGGUAACGGCUUACCAAGGCGACGAUGCGUAGCCGACCUGAGAGGGUGAUCGGCCACACUGGAACUGAGACACGGUCCAGACUCCUACGGGAGGCAGCAGUAGGGAAUCUUCCGAAAUGGGCGAAAGCCUGACGGAGCAACGCCGCGUGAGUGAUGAAGGUCUUCGGGUCGUAAAACUCUGUUAUUAGGGAAGAACAAAUGUGUAAGUAACUAUGCACGUCUUGACGGUACCUAAUCAGAAAGCAACGGCUAACUACGUG
rnacentral:rRNA from 1 species